rnacentral:rRNA from 2 species
AGAGUUUGAUCCUGGCUCAGGAUGAACGCUGGCGGCGUGCCUAAUACAUGCAAGUCGAGCGAACGGACGAGAAGCUUGCUUCUCUGAUGUUAGCGGCGGACGGGUGAGUAACACGUGGAUAACCUACCUAUAAGACUGGGAUAACUUCGGGAAACCGGAGCUAAUACCGGAUAAUAUUUUGAACCGCAUGGUUCAAAAGUAAAAGACGGUCUUGCUGUCACUUAUAGAUGGAUCCGCGCUGCAUUAGCUAGUUGGUAAGGUAACGGCUUACCAAGGCAACGAUGCAUAGCCGACCUGAGAGGGUGAUCGGCCACACUGGAACUGAGACACGGUCCAGACUCCUACGGGAGGCAGCAGUAGGGAAUCUUCCGCAAUGGGCGAAAGCCUGACGGAGCAACGCCGCGUGAGUGAUGAAGGUCUUCGGAUCGUAAAACUCUGUUAUUAGGGAAGAACAUAUGUGUAAGUAACUGUGCACAUCUUGACGGUACCUAAUCAGAAAGCCACGGCUAACUACGUGCCAGCAGCCGCGGUAAUACGUAGGUGGCAAGCGUUAUCCGGAAUUAUUGGGCGUAAAGCGCGCGUAGGCGGUUUUUUAAGUCUGAUGUGAAAGCCCACGGCUCAACCGUGGAGGGUCAUUGGAAACUGGAAAACUUGAGUGCAGAAGAGGAAAGUGGAAUUCCAUGUGUAGCGGUGAAAUGCGCAGAGAUAUGGAGGAACACCAGUGGCGAAGGCGACUUUCUGGUCUGUAACUGACGCUGAUGUGCGAAAGCGUGGGGAUCAAACAGGAUUAGAUACCCUGGUAGUCCACGCCGUAAACGAUGAGUGCUAAGUGUUAGGGGGUUUCCGCCCCUUAGUGCUGCAGCUAACGCAUUAAGCACUCCGCCUGGGGAGUACGACCGCAAGGUUGAAACUCAAAGGAAUUGACGGGGACCCGCACAAGCGGUGGAGCAUGUGGUUUAAUUCGAAGCAACGCGAAGAACCUUACCAAAUCUUGACAUCCUUUGACAACUCUAGAGAUAGAGCCUUCCCCUUCGGGGGACAAAGUGACAGGUGGUGCAUGGUUGUCGUCAGCUCGUGUCGUGAGAUGUUGGGUUAAGUCCCGCAACGAGCGCAACCCUUAAGCUUAGUUGCCAUCAUUAAGUUGGGCACUCUAAGUUGACUGCCGGUGACAAACCGGAGGAAGGUGGGGAUGACGUCAAAUCAUCAUGCCCCUUAUGAUUUGGGCUACACACGUGCUACAAUGGACAAUACAAAGGGCAGCGAAACCGCGAGGUCAAGCAAAUCCCAUAAAGUUGUUCUCAGUUCGGAUUGUAGUCUGCAACUCGACUACAUGAAGCUGGAAUCGCUAGUAAUCGUAGAUCAGCAUGCUACGGUGAAUACGUUCCCGGGUCUUGUACACACCGCCCGUCACACCACGAGAGUUUGUAACACCCGAAGCCGGUGGAGUAACCUUUUAGGAGCUAGCCGUCGAAGGUGGGACAAAUGAUUGGGGUGAAGUCGUAACAAGGUAGCCGUAUCGGAAGGUGCGGCUG